rnacentral:pre_miRNA from 1 species
GGGGCAAACCUGUAGUAGAGUAGAUUAGUAGGAUCAGCUGACCAUACCCAACUAUUCUAUUUCGAGUUUGUGUCC